UACGUAGGGCGCAAGCGUUGUCCGGAAUUAUUGGGCGUAAAGAGCUCGUAGGCGGCUUGUCACGUCGGUUGUGAAAGCCCGGGGCUUAACCCCGGGUCUGCAGUCGAUACGGGCUAGCUAGAGUGUGGUAGGGAGGAUCGGAAUUCCUGGUGUAGCGGUGAAAUGCGCAGAUAUCAGGAGGAACACCGGUGGCGAAGGCGGCAUCCUGGACCGGCAUUGACGCUGAGGAGCGAAAGCCAGGGGAGCAAACGGG
rnacentral:rRNA from 1 species